AUUGAACGCUGGCGGCAGGCCUAACACAUGCGAGUCGAACGGUAGCACAGAGAGCUUGCUCUCGGGUGACGAGUGGCGGACGGGUGAGUAAUGUCUGGGAAACUGCCCGAUGGAGGGGGAUAACUACUGGAAACGGUAGCUAAUACCGCAUAACGUCGCAAGACCAAAGUGGGGGACCUUCGGGCCUCACACCAGCGGAUGUGCCCAGAUGGGAUUAGCUAGUAGGUGGGGUAAUGGCUCACCUAGGCGACGAUCCCUAGCUGGUCUGAGAGGAUGACCAGCCACACUGGAACUGAGACACGGUCCAGACUCCUACGGGAGGCAGCAGUGGGGAAUAUUGCACAAUGGGCGCAAGCCUGAUGCAGCCAUGCCGCGUGUAUGAAGAAGGCCUUCGGGUUGUAAAGUACUUUCAGCGGGGAGGAAGGCGGUGAAGUUAAUAGCUUCACCGAUUGACGUUACCCGCAGAAGAAGCACCGGCCAACUCCGUGCCAGCCGCCGCCGUAA
rnacentral:rRNA from 1 species